CCGAGUGAGGGCCUUCGGGCUCGACCUCCAACCCUUUGUGGACACAUCUUGUUGCUUCGGGGGCGACCCUGCCGUUCCGACGGCGAGCGCCCCCGGAGGCCUUCAAACACUGCAUCUUUGCGUCGGAGUUUAAGUAAAUUUAAACA
rnacentral:misc_RNA from 1 species